GUCGGUUGUAUAUCCCUCACAAAUUAGAUAACUGACGAAAAAAGUAUAAUGAUUAAAAAAAAUACAUAAUUAGCGUCAUUUUAUAAGCCUCACAAAUUCUUUGUGUGUCGUUUUUAAACCGACGGUAAAGGAUUUGCUUAAGUGAGAAAAUGACGGAAACCCUCUUAGGUUCACUUACCCCCAAAUUUCUUACACACCAAAAUCAUUCCUUCAUUCUGCGUGAACCCAUUUUGGUCAGCCGCCUCAGCUCCGAAGGUCACACAAUUUUGCAGACAAAAUUUUUCUCCUCAGCUCACGCAAUUUUGCUCUACUGUGCCUCAGAUUUUUCCUCCGUCGGCGCCGUAAGUCCCCUACGCUCACGCUGUUGUGGUCUCGAUCUCCUUGACCUCCAAUGCAUUGCAUAAAAUGUUGAUUUUGGAAGUUUGGAACCAUGAGUCUUUUGUAAAGGUUAAAGUACCUGGGGGGCGAGGGAAGCCAUCCAUAAUUGUUGACAUUGACAAGGAUGAAGGUCUAAGUUCGAUGCUGCAAAAUUGAGAAAACUCAGACCGGAUUUCAAGUAGAGCAGGGGCUCUGUUACAGCUGGCAAUGCUUCUAUCAUAAGGUUCCCCCUCUUUCUCCCCCAACCAAAAAAUAGAAAGUAAUUUUGUUUUAAGUGUGGUAAUGCAAUUGGAUAUGUUGUUUCUUGUGUCUUCUGUUUUGAGGCUUGUACUGUCUAAAUAUUAAUAUACAUUUCAGCAACUGGUUUAGUAACUGCGAUUCUUGUAGUUUAUACUACAACAAAACUGGUUUAUAUUCUAGGGUUGCAGAUUUUAAGUAGCCUUAAUAUGGUUUGGUUCCUUUAUCAUGAAUAGUGAUGGUGCGGCUGCAUUAGUCCUAGUGAGUGGAGAGAAAGCACUUCAACUUGGAUUGUAAGUAAUUGCAAAGAUUAAGAGAUUUGCUAAUGUAGCUUAGGCACUUGAAUUCUUCACAAUUGCUCCAGCCCUUGUGAUUCCAAAAUCCAUUUUAAAUGCUGGUUUAGAUGCUUCUCAGAUUGAUUACUAUGAAAUAAGAAAUUUUUUGUAAGAUUUUAGUACUUAUAAUCUCUCUACUGUUCCUGAUUUAGUAAGCUUUUUUUCUUAGUUUCAUUCAUUUAUAUUUUGUUCUUUUCCUCUCCAUGUUAUAGCUCUAGCCAAUCAAUAGCUGCUUGGUUGUAAUCCUGUAAGUUAGUAGAAAACUAGAUCAUUUGUUUCAAGUUGGUUUAGCGUGCUAUAAGUCUAAAAUAUAUGCUAUUUCAAAUCUAAUUAUUCCUACAUUUUCUACAAUUGCUAUAGUAUGUUUUAUUUGUCCACUUUCAUUUGAUUUUAUUCAUUUUGCUCAAUGUCUUUAUCUACAUUUUUUCCCUUCUAAUUUUCACGUAUUUCAAGAAUGCCUUAAUGUACAUGGUGGGGCUGUAUCAUUGGGACACUCACUUGGAUACAGUGGAGCUAGUAUCUUGGUCACAUUGUUAGAGGUACUGAGACAUUAGAAUGUAAAGUACGGGGUUGGUGCCAUAUGCAAUGGUGGUGGGGGAGCUUCUUCACUUGUUCUUGAGCUCAUGUGAUGUUGGGUGUUGAUCGUCUUGACAUGAUCAAAGGAAUCCCACAGAAGAUUUUGGCUUUCGAAAAGUUCCUAGAGGAGAAUCCAAGCUGGCGUGAUAAAGUAGUUCUACUUCAAAUUGUUGUGCCAACAAGAACAGAUGUUCCAGAAUGUAUGUUCAUUAUCAAAAUAUGUUCCUACCCACUGUCUGUUAUGCCUAUUUUUUUUAAGUCUAUCUGUAGUUUGUUGUCUAAUGUUAUUUCAAUCAUAUGACUAUCAUUAAAUUUAUAUCAUCUCGAUCAAUUUAUAAAUAAUAGAGUUGUUUAUUAUUGUAUAAUACAGAUCAAAUACACACACAAUGUUAUUGGUAUUGUGUGAUUAGUUAAUAUAAUCGAUUAUUAAUUUUAUGUAA